AACGAACGCUGGCGGCAUGCCUAACACAUGCAAGUCGAACGAGACCUUCGGGUCUAGUGGCGCACGGGUGCGUAACGCGUGGGAACCUGCCCUUAGGUUCGGAAUAACUCCCCGAAAGGGGUGCUAAUACCGGAUCAUGUCUUCGGACCAAAGAUUUAUCGCCUUUGGAUGGGCCCGCGUUGGAUUAGCUAGUUGGUAGGGUAAAAGCCUACCAAGGCGACGAUCCAUAGCUGGUCUGAGAGGAUGAUCAGCCACACUGGGACUGAGACACGGCCCAGACUCCUACGGGAGGCAGCAGGGGGGAAUAUGGGACAAUGGGCGAGAGCCUGAUCCAGCAAGGCCGCGAGAGUGAUGAAGGCGUUAGGGUUGUAAAGCUCUUUUACCCGGGAUGAUAAUGACAGUACCGGGAGAAUAAGCUCCGGCUAACUCCGU
rnacentral:rRNA from 1 species